rnacentral:rRNA from 1 species
AUUGAACGCUGGCGGCAUGCUUUACACAUGCAAGUCGAACGGUAACAGGUUAAGCUGACGAGUGGUGAACGGGUGAGUAAUGCAUCGGAACGUGCCCGAUCGUGGGGGAUAACGCAGCGAAAGCUGCGCUAAUACCGCAUACGAUCUGAGGAUGACAGCGGGGGACCGUAAGGCCUCGCGCGAUCGGAGCGGCCGAUGUCAGAUUAGGUAGGUGGUGGGGUAAAGGCCCACCAAGCCGACGAUCUGUAGCUGGUCUGAGAGGACGACCAGCCACACUGGGACUGAGACACGGCCCAGACUCCUACGGGAGGCAGCAGUGGGGAAUUUUGGACAAUGGGCGAAAGCCUGAUCCAGCAAUGCCGCGUGCAGGAAGAAGGCCUUCGGGUUGUAAACUGCUUUUGUACGGAGCGAAAAGGUCCUUUCUAAUACAAGGGGCUCAUGACGGUACCGUAAGAAUAAGCACCGGCUAACUACGUGCCAGCAGCCGCCGUAA